rnacentral:lncRNA from 1 species
CUAUCCACCAGGGACCAACGAAUAAACAAUGAACACAACUAUCAACUAGGGACCAACGAAUAAACAAUGAGACAACUAUCCACCAGGGACCAACGAAAACACAACUAUCCACCAGGGACCAACGAAUAAACAAUGAACUCAACUAUCCACAAGAGACCAAAACUAUCCACCAGGGACCAACGAAUAAACAAUGAACACAACUAUCAACUAGGGACCAACGAAUAAACAAUGAGGCAACUACCCACCAGGGACCAACGAAUAAACAAUGAACUCAACUAUCCACAAGAGACCAAAACUAUCCACAAGGGACCAACGAAUAAACAAAGAACACAACUAUCAACCAGGGACCAACGAAUAAACAAUGAUACAACUAUCCACCAGGGAACAAUGAAUAAACAAUGAACUCAACUAUCAAUCAGGGACCAGCGAAAAAACAUUGAAACAACUAUCCACCAGGGACCAAGGAAUAAACAAUGAAAACAACUAUCCACUAGGGACCAACGAAUAAACAAUGAGACAACUAUCCACCAGGGACCAACGAAUAAACAAUGAACACAACUAUCCACCAGGGACCAACGAAUAAACAAUGAGACAACUAUCCACCAGGGACCAACGAAUAAACAAUGAGACAACUAUCCACUAGGGACCAACGAAUAAACAAUGAACACAACUAUCCACCAGGGACCAACGAAUAAACAAUGAACACAACUAUCCACCAGACAAUGAGACAACUAUCCACGGGACCAACGAAUAAACAAUGAACACAACUAUCAACCAGGGACCAACGAAUAAACAAUGAUACAACUAUCCACCAGGGAACAACGAAUAAACAAUGAAACAACUAUCCACCAGGGAACAAUGAAUAAACAAUGAGACAACUAUCCACCAGGGACCAACGAAUAAACAAUGAAAACAACUAUCCACCAGGGACCAACGGAUAACCAAUGAGAACAACUAUCCACCAGGGACCAACGGAUAAACAAUGAAAACAACUAUCCACCAGGGACCAACGGAUAACCAAUGAGAACAACUAUCCACCAGGGACCAACGGAUAAAUAAUGAAAACAACUAUCAACCAGGGACCAGCGAAAAAACAAUGAAACAACUAUCCACCAGGGACCAACGGAAUAAACAAUGAAAACAACUAUCCACCAGGGACCAACGAAUAAAACAAUGAGAACAACUAUCCACCAGGGACCAACGGAUAAACAAUGAAAACAACUAUCAACCAGGGACCAACGAAUAAACAAUGAGACAACUAUCCACCAGGGACCAAGGAAUAAACAAUGAAAACAACUAUCCACCAGGGACCAACGAAUAAACAAUGAAAACAACUAUCCACUAGGGACCAACGAAUAAACAAUGAACACAACAUUCCUCCAGAGACCAACGAAUAAACAAUGAAAACAACUAUCCACCAGGGAACAACGAAUAAACAAUGAACACAACUAUCCACCAGGGACCAACGAAUAAACAAUGAACACAACUAUCCACCAGGGACCAACGAAUAAACAAUUAACACAACU